rnacentral:rRNA from 1 species
AUACGGAGGGUGCGAGCGUUACUCGGAGUCACUGGGCGUAAAGCGUCCGUAGGCGGUCGGGUAAGUCGGGUGUGAAAGCCCCGGGCUCAACCUGGGAAGUGCACCCGAUACUGCUCGACUCGAGUGCGGGAGAGGAUGGCGGAAUUCCCGGUGUAGCGGUGAAAUGCGUAGAGAUCGGGAGGAACACCAGUGGCGAAGGCGGCCAUCUGGCCCGCAACUGACGCUGAGGGACGAAAGCGUGGGGAGCAAACAGGAUUAGAUACCCUGUAGUCC